rnacentral:rRNA from 1 species
UACAGAGGUCUCAAGCGUUGUUCGGAUUCAUUGGGCGUAAAGGGUGCGUAGGCGGCGCGGUAAGUCGGGUGUGAAAUCUCGGAGCUUAACUCCGAAACUGCAUUCGAUACUGCCGUGCUUGAGGACUGGAGAGGAGACUGGAAUUUACGGUGUAGCGGUGAAAUGCGUAGAUAUCGUAAGGAAGACCAGUGGCGAAGGCGGGUCUCUGGACAGUUCCUGACGUGAGGCACGAAGGUCAGGGGAGCAAACAGG